GUGCUUGCUUCGGUAGCACAUAUACUAAAAUUGGAACGAUACAGAGAUUAGCAUGGCCCCUGCGCAAGGAUGACACACAAAUUGUGAGGUGUUCCAUUCGUGG
ensembl:snRNA U6 U6 spliceosomal RNA